rnacentral:rRNA from 1 species
GACGAACGCUGGCGGCGUGCUUAACACAUGCAAGUCGAACGGAAAGGCCCUGCUUUUGUGGGGUGCUCGAGUGGCUAACGGGUGAGUAACACGUGAGUAACCUGCCCUUGACUUUGGGAUAACUUCAGGAAACUGGGGCUAAUACCGGAUAGGAGCUCCUGCUGCAUGGUGGGGGUUGGAAAGUUUCGGCGGUUGGGGAUGGACUCGCGGCUUAUCAGCUUGUUGGUGGGGUAGUGGCUUACCAAGGCUUUGACGGGUAGCCGGCCUGAGAGGUGGACCGGCCACAUUGGGACUGAGAUACGGCCCAGAAUCCUACGGGAGGCAGCAGUGGGGAAUAUUGCCCAAUGGGCGGAAGCCUGAUGCAGCAACGCCGCGUGCGGGAUGACGGCCUUCGGGUUGUAAACCGCUUUCGCCUGUGACGAAGCGUGAGUGACGGUAAUGGGUAAAGAAGCACCGGCUAACUACGUG